rnacentral:rRNA from 1 species
GCUUCUUUUUCCCCGGAGCUUGCUCCACCGGAAAAAGAAGAGUGGCGAACGGGUGAGUAACACGUGGGUAACCUGCCCAUCAGAAGGGGAUAACACUUGGAAACAGGUGCUAAUACCGUAUAACAAUCGAAACCGCAUGGUUUUGAUUUGAAAGGCGCUUUCGGGUGUCGCUGAUGGAUGGACCCGCGGUGCAUUAGCUAGUUGGUGAGGUAACGGCUCACCAAGGCCACGAUGCAUAGCCGACCUGAGAGGGUGAUCGGCCACAUUGGGACUGAGACACGGCCCAAACUCCUACGGGAGGCAGCAGUAGGGAAUCUUCGGCAAUGGACGAAAGUCUGACCGAGCAACGCCGCGUGAGUGUAGAAGGUUUUCGGAUCGUAAAACUCUGUUGUUAGAGAAGAACAAGGAUGAGAGUAACUGUUCAUCCCUUGACGGUAUCUAACCAGAAAGCCACGGCUAACUACGUGCCAGCAGCCGCGGUAAUACGUAGGUGGCAAGCGUUGUCCGGAUUUAUUGGGCGUAAAGCGAGCGCAGGCGGUUUCUUAAGUCUGAUGUGAAGGCCCCCGGCUCAACCGGGGAGGGUCAUUGGAAACUGGGAGACUUGAGUGCAGAAGAGGAGAGUGGAAUUCCAUGUGUAGCGGUGAAAUGCGUAGAUAUAUGGAGGAACACCAGUGGCGAAGGCGGCUCUCUGGUCUGUAACUGACGCUGAGGCUCGAAAGCGUG